GAUGAAGAACGCAGCGAAAUGCGAUAAGUAAUGUGAAUUGCAGAAUCCAGUGAAUCAUCGAAUCUUUGAACGCACAUUGCGCCCGCCAGCAUUCUGGCGGGCAUGCCUGUUCGAGCGUCAUUUCAACCCUCGACCUCCCCUUGGGGAGGUCGGCGUUGGGGACCGGCAGCACACCGCCGGCCCUGAAAUGGAGUGGCGGCCCGUCCGCGGCGACCUCUGCGUAGUAAUACAGCUCGCACCGGAACCCCGACGCGGCCACGCCGUAAAACAACCAACUUCUGAACGUUGACCUCGAAUCAGGUAGGACUACCCGCUGAACUUAAGCAUAUCAAUAAGCGGAGGA
rnacentral:misc_RNA from 1 species